UCAGGAUGAACGCUAGCGGCAGGCUUAACACAUGCAAGUCGAGGGGCAGCAUGUCCAGCAAUGGAUGAUGGCGACCGGCGUAAGGGUGCGUAACGCGUGAGCAACAUGCCCUAUACAGGAGGAUACUCCGGGGAAACCCGGUCUAAUACUCCAUAGUAUUAUUGAGAGGCAUCUCUUAAUAAUUAAAGCUUCGGUGGUAUAGGAUUGGCUCGCGUGACAUUAGCCAGAUGGUGAGGUAACGGCUCACCAUAGCAACGAUGUCUAGGGGUUUUGAGAGGAAGGCCCCCCACACUGGGACUGAGACACGGCCCAGACUCCUACGGGAGGCAGCAGUGAGGAAUAUUGGACAAUGGAUGG
rnacentral:rRNA from 1 species